CAAUAGCGUAUAUUAAAGUUGUUGCGGUUAAAAAGCUCGUAGUUGGAUUUCUGCUGAGGACGACCGGUCCGCCCUCUGGGUGAGUAUCUGGCUCGGCCUUGGCAUCUUCUUGGAGAACGCAACUGCACUUGACUGUGUGGUGUGGUAUCCAGGACUUUUACUUUGAGGAAAUUAGAGUGUUUCAAGCAGGCGCACGCCUUGAAUACAUUAGCAUGGAAUAAUAAGAUAGGACCUUGGUUCUAUUUUGUUGGUUUCUAGAGCUGAGGUAAUGAUUAGUAGGGAUAGUUGGGGGCAUUAGUAUUUAAUUGUCAGAGGUGAAAUUCUUGGAUUUAUAGAAAGACUAACUACUGCGAAAGCUAUUUGCCAAGGAUUGUUUUCUAUUAAUCAAGAACGAAAGUUAGGGAUCGAAGACGAUCAGAUACCAU
rnacentral:rRNA from 1 species